GGGAUAACAAACAAACGUUAAUAAUAAGUGCACAUUGCAAACAAUGUCACUAUUAUUGCGGUGUACUUCUAACGCAUGCGUAAAAAAAAAUCUGUAUCGUUG
rnacentral:lncRNA from 1 species